GGAGGCCGAGCGAUUGGAUCGGAAAAAAGACAAAACAAAACUUCAUUUCCUUUUGCACCUGUUUUCCUUCGACUGGAGCUUAGGAAGCUGGAGGAAGGGAUUGAUGAGCAGGAGGGUCUGGGACUAAAGAAAGGGCUUUUCUGGCUGCACCGGUGCGGUUGUGAAUGUCAGAACCUGGGCAGUAGCCCCCGCUGCACGGUGGCCUAUGCCUUGUCUUCCUCGGAAUCCUAUGUUUUUUUUCUCGAUUUAUAGUAAAAUGAGGAAGGGGGAAUAGCAUGCAUUGAAACAGUGUAUAUACAUAUAUAUUCCAACACUCCAUGUUUCUUACUUGCAGUGCUGUUGCAUUUGAAGGUUGCAAAUUUUUAGGGUCCCUGUAUAUGGAGAGAGGCCACAUUUUUUUUAUUCUUCUGAAAUAAUAUUUCAAGACAUGCACCUCCCAACCAUGAAAGAAAUGGAAAGCACUGCAGAGGAGAGGACAAUAUUGGGGACCACCAGGACGGAAAGCUUCUGUACAGCCAAAAUAUUGCUACCUCAUGCCGCGAGAGUGAUCCCACGGUCCUCCCGAGGGGUGCAGGUGCACGUGCUUACUCAGCAGACAGCAGAUCUUGCCCUCUGCAUGCUCAUCUCCGGGCUGCUGCUGCUGCUGCCGCCGCUGAUGAUUCAAGUGCUUCUCCGCUGGCCACGGACCGUCUACCCAUCACCACUGAAGAAACCCCAUCCUCACCUCAGCCAGAGAAAACUCUCAUGCAGCCCAAUUCCCCGCCACUCCCUCUGGAGGUGCCUGCCUUGACCUGGGAGGACGCUCAACUGCUGUCCUGGGUACUGAAGCUCAAGAACGUGGCUUAUCUUUCCUCAUGGUUGUUGCUGGCUGCACCUCCCACAACAAACCGAAUUCCCAGCAGCCACCAUUUCCUGUUCCUCAGCUGCAUCUAUCUACGAGGAGGAUUCCAGACUGAUCUUACAGACACCGUCCUCCCAUCUGGUCUACUUUUCUCUUAG
rnacentral:lncRNA from 12 species